GCCGGGCGCGGUGGCUCACGCCUGUAAUCCCAGCACUUUGGGAGGCAGAGGCGGGUGGAUCACGAGGUCGGGAGAUUGAGACCAACCUGGCUAACACGGUGAAACCCCGUCUCUACUAAAAAUACAAAAAAUUCGCCGGGCGAGGUGGCGGGCGCCUGUAGUCCCAGCUACUCGGAGGCUNNNNNNNNNNAGCCUCCGAGUAGCUGGGACUACAGGCGCCCGCCACCACGCCUGGCUAAUUUUUUGUAUUUUUAGUAGAAAUGGGAUUUCACCGUGUUAGCCAGGAUGGUCUCGAUCUCCUGACCUCGUGAUCCGCCCGCCUCAG
rnacentral:SRP_RNA from 1 species